UACGGGGGGGGUAAGCGUUGUUCGGAAUUACUGGGCGUAAAGGGCUCGUAGGCGGCCAACUAAGUCGGACGUGAAAUCCCUCAGCUUAACUGGGGAACUGCGUCCGAUACUGGAUGGCUUGGAUUUGGGAGAGGGAUGCGGAAUUCCAGGUGUAGCGGUGAAAUGCGUAGAUAUCAGGAGGAACACCGGUGGCGAAGGCGGCAUCCUGGACCGACACUGACGCUGAGGAGCGAAAGCCAGGGGAGCAAACGGG
rnacentral:rRNA from 1 species